rnacentral:rRNA from 1 species
GACGAACGCUGGCGGCGUGCUUAACACAUGCAAGUCGAACGGAAAGACCCUGCGGGGUACUCGCGUGGCGAACGGGCGGGUAGCACGUUGACAAUCUGCCCUGCACUUUGUGAUACGCCUGGGACACUGGGACUACUAACGAAUAGGACCACGCGCUUCUUGGCGUGAGGGGGCAAGCUUUUGCGGUGUGGGAUGGGCCCGCGGCCUAUCAGCUUGUUGGUCGGGUAAUGGCCUACCAGGGCGACGACGGGUAGCCGGCCCUAGAGGGUGACCGGCGACACUGGGACUGAGAGACGGACCAGACGCCAACGGGAGGCAGCAGUCGGGAAUAUUGCACAAUGGGCGCGAGCCUGAUGCGGCGACGCCGCGUGAGGGAUGACGGCCUACGGGUUGUAAACCUCUGUCAAUAGGACCGAAGCGCAAGUGACGGUACCUAUAGAAGAAGCACCGGCCAACUACGUG